AGAGCGAAAUGAGGAGGGAGAAAGAAGCAAAGUGAGAGAGAGAGAGCGAGGAGGAGUAGAGUGAGAGUUUUGUGUUUGUUUAUUUUAUGCAACUUUUUAUUUUUAUUAUU
rnacentral:ribozyme from 14 species